GACGAACGCUGGCGGCGUGCUUAACACAUGCAAGUCGAGCGGUAAGGCCCUUUCGGGGGUACACGAGCGGCGAACGGGUGAGUAACACGUGGGUGACCUGCCCUCAGCUCUGGGAUAAGCCUGGGAAACUGGGUCUAAUACCGGAUAUGACUCCAUGACGCAUGUUGUGGGGUGGAAAGCCUUGUGCGGCUGAGGAUGGGCCCGCGGCCUAUCAGCUUGUUGGUGGGGUGAUGGCCUACCAAGGCGACGACGGGUAGCCGGCCUGAGAGGGCGACCGGCCACACUGGGACUGAGACACGGCCCAGACUCCUACGGGAGGCAGCAGUGGGGAAUCUUGCGCAAUGGGCGAAAGCCUGACGCAGCGACGCCGCGUGAGGGAUGAAGGUC
rnacentral:rRNA from 1 species